rnacentral:rRNA from 1 species
CCCUUAGAUGUCCGGGGCUGCACGCGCGCUACACUGAAGGAAUCAGCGUGCUAAAACCAUUGUCGAAAGGCAUUGGUAAACCCAUUAAAAUCCUACGUGAUUGGGAUCGGGAAUUGCAAUUAUUUCCCUUGAACGAGGAAUUCCCAGUAAGUGUGGGUCAUAAGCUCGCGUUGAUUACGUCCCUGCCCUUUGUACACACCGCCCGUCGCUGCCCGGGACUGAGCCGUUUCGAGAAAAGCGGGGACUGCUGCUGUCGGGGCUUUCGGGCCUUGGCUUCGGUGGAAACCGCUUUAAUCGCAGUGGCUUGAACCGGGCAAAAGUCGAAACA